UAUAAGAUUAUCGCUGAGCCUUCUCUAGGCUGAACACUCACAGCUCUCAGCCUUUUCUUGUAUUAGACAUACUCCACUUCCUUCAUCAUCUUCUUGGCUCUUUGCUGGACCCUCUCCAGUAGCUCUGCAGCUCUCAAAUAUCUAUCCAUUUCUAUUUAGCACCCUAUCUACCAAAUUGUGUCAUUUUAUUCAGGGUUUGUUUCGUCCUGUGUCACAGAAGGUUGCAAUGAGCCAUUGUAUGUAUUUUUUCUGCAUUCACAUGUAGAAAAAAGUAAGAUGUAACUAGAAACUAUUUUUCUGGUGCCCCUGUUUUGAUAGUUCUGCCAUGGUUUUUCUGCUUCUCUGUCGUCUUGCAUACCACUUCGGUCUGUGUGCUGUUAUGCUUGAUUACAGGGCCUGCCAGCAGAUAGGAAGCUGAAACUGUCCUUGAACUUUUCUCUCAGAUAUAUCAGUGUGAAUCCUAGACUAAUAUGGCCUCUGUGGGACUGCAGCAGUUCCCUACUGGUCUUACUUUACAUAGCAAUUGGUAUAAAUUCACAAUGGCUGCAUGUCUACCUUAUACAGGACUUCAUAAUAAUUAUAAUCCUUGUAUUAAAAAAAUGCAUAUAAUGUUUAAAGAUAGAUAAUAUUUAUAUAUGGGGAUAUUUUUACAAGUGAUUUUGACAAAUCAAGAUUGAUCCAAUAGCCUAUUUCACUCAUUUGCUCUGAAAAUCCUAAUAAAUAGCUUUACAAGUACAGAGAUUUCUGGAAAUGAAUGACUAAGGAAAAUCUUAGAGGAAGGUAAGUUAUUUUAAAGGGAUUGAGGCAGUAUCAGUAAAUAUUUUUCUAAAAUAAAAUAUAAAAGCCGAGACUGUUAUAUGAUCUGGCAAGCAAAUAUGUUUAUAGUUUUGGGUAGCAGACUGUUCUCUGCUGCCACUAUCAUUUCCAAAAGUUUUUGCUGCUAGCAAAAAAAGAAUUAUGAGACUGCUGUCCAUUCACAACAUAAAUUGUCAUAAUUUUGGACAAGAAAUGAACAUGUACCAUGUGAAAAUGUUUGUCCUUCCUAGAUAUCUUUAUCAGAGCAUGCACAUGGCUUUCCCCUUCCCUCGCCCUGCUGAAACCAGCUACAGUUUUGACAGGAAAAUGAUACAGUGUGUACAAUGAAUGCAUUCUACACCCUGGGUAUGAACUGAACCAGCUCUGGCAGGACUGUAGUUUAUCAUUCUUACAUGACAUGAAGCUGGUAAAAUACCAACUGCAGACUCUCUUUUCUUUCCCUUGACCUUGCACUACACUUGAGGUGUAAGACACAUCCAAGGCCCACUGCACUGGAAAACAACAUGUUUCUGACCAUGGUUCUGGACUUCUCCUGCCCAUGGACAGUCUGCUCAGCCAGCAGAGCCUGAAUGUGUUCAGGUGGGAAGAAGAGCUGGCAGUACACUAUGGUGCAGUUGUGUACCUGGCCACCCUUCAGAAAAACAAAACAAAACAGAACAGGACACUAACUUAUUUGUGUGGCAGGCACCAGGUCAGGAAGGAGCAGGACAAUUUGUGUGGUCAGGUGAAUAACCUUUUACAAAAAUUCCUCAGGACUUUGGACUGAGCAGUGCCUUGUAAGCCUACUACCUGCAGAUCCAGGCACACAGAACUGGAGGAAGAAUCCCAUCCAAGGCAUGCUCCUCUCCAUUUCACCUUAAAGGUGGUUUUCCUACGGCAUCUUCCAUGGAUUUAUUACAGCUUUGAAGUGCAAAAUGCAGAAAAACAUUAAGUCCAGCACAGGAUGGGGAAUGUGAACAGUCUUCCAACCAAUAACUUCAGAAAAAAGUGGGAACAACUCUUCGCUCACUCCUUUGCAGAGUAGUGUUUCAGAAGUAUGGCCGUUUCUUGUCUCCUGAUUACUGCCAGGCAUCCUUUCCAACAGGACACCACUUGAAUUUAGGCAAUUGACAGAAGCCACUGAUACACUGAAGAGGAACUUACUUUUUUUUUUUUGGCCAAGUUUUGUGACUAAAGGUCGGUCAAGCUCACCUGUCGUGUCUCCAGCAGUGGUCAACAGUGGCUUCUAACAGAAGGAGAGAAGAGGGAAAGCGUAUAUGAUCCUUCUCAGGAGUUCUCUCCCAUCUUUCAACAAUUUCUGCUACAAUAAAUGAUCUAUAGAUAUUUAGAAGCUUCUUGUGGCUUCCUCCUGAACAUGCCUAGCCCAGGUAACCAUUGCACAUGAUGAAGCCUGGCUGUCCAGGAGAUGGCUGAACACCUUCCUGCUGAUGGGAAGCACUCAAUGAAUUAAUUUUUCUUCACUGUCUUUACCUCAGCCCAUGAGUUUUCUCACUUACACCCUUCUGAUUUUCUCUCCUGUCCUGCUGUGAGGGAAUGAGCAAGUAGCUGUGUGGGAUUUAGCUGCCUAGGGAUGUUUAACCAUGACGUACACUAUUAAUGUAUAACUUUACAUGGCGUGAAGAAACACUGCUUUUUAGAUUGGUUUUAGCCUCCUGUUUGAUAGAUCCAUUUCUUUCCCCCUAGUUCUUAAAUGGGAAGAAAUAGUGAAUAAUUGAUUAAAAUUGGGAUUUUUUUUUGAAAGCUGAGUGUUUCCAUCAUUAAGCCUUUAAAGGAGUCUUUUUACGCCUUAGAUAAUCUUUGCUCUCUUGAAACUUUUGCAGAUCUACUAAAUUCUUUUGACCAUGAGGGACUUCUAUACAAUGUUCCAGACAUGGGUGCCCUGUGAAGUUUGUAAUGGCAUAAUGUUAUUCUGUCUUUUCUUCUCAACCUUGUUUGCUUUAUUGAUUGCUACUAAACAGCAAGAUUUUGUUUUUACAAAAUGGAUGAAUGUAUCUUAACACUGAGAACUCAUUUCUGAGUUCUAGCGCCUAGUUUAGAAUUCAUCAAAUCUUUUUUUUUUUUUUUCUAUGGACAUCUCCUGAGUUUCAUCAGUCUUCACAGUUGAACUGGUAACUUCAGUAACUUCCCUGUUUUCCAAAUUACAUAUGAAUGUGUUGAAUAUGAGUCUCAGAACAAAACCAUCCAACAAUCCACUGGUGACAUUCUUUCAUUGUAAAAAAUCAAUCAUUUUCUACUCUAUUUCUUAUAUGAACACAAAAUAAUUGAACAAUCUUCUACAUUAUCCCAUACCGUUAAGUUUCUUUUAGAAUCUUUGGUGAAAUACUCUUCAAAAACCCAGCUGGACUAUAUGAGCAAGAUGUUUCUUAUCCACAUGCUUGUUGUCCAGUUCAAAGGACCUCAAUAUGUUUGCCAGACAUGAUUUCCCUGUAUAAAAAGCAUCUUAAUCCUUACCUACUGUAUUGCUGUGAAUUACUGAAAACAAGGAUGUUCAUUUUCUUAUUUACCUUGUACAAGCCCAUGUGAUCCCAACAGGAUUAUAUCCCUGCAACUGCACAUUGAUCUCUAACUGCUUGUUUUUAUUCCCCAUGCUGCAUGUAUUAGUGUACAGGCACUUCAUAGAGGCACCCCACAAUGCUGAAUUCCAUAAAAGAGUCUGUUUUGUUUGG